AACAAAACAUAUUUGGAAACAUUGGUAAAUAUGACUCAAAUUAAAAAACUCAAGCGCCAAGCAUGGACGAAAUAGGAAGAGAUUUUCCUUAUACAACUGUGGGAGGAAAAUCUAAAUGAUUUCCGAAACUGUAAGCGCAAUGCGUAUAUAUAUCAAAAAAUUGCUGACGAACUUGUCGGAAAAUUUAGUGUGCAAGAAGUGUCCUUCCGGAGGCAGCCGAUCACAAUGGAAGCACUUCGGAAGGAUCCAUAAAAUGAUAGGGUCAAACGCCGCUAAUAAUAAUGUAGUGGAGGAGUCCUUAGUUUUUGCUCAUAUGCUCGUCGAUUAGCAACAACGUUUAGUCGAUUAGCAGCAACGUGUGACAUCGAAAGAGUAGAGCUCCCUUCAUAAGCAAGACCAUCCGGAAUGACUUCCCAAAUUGACAGCGAUGAAGUCUCUUGCUCUUCUGCAAAAAAAAAAAAAAUUAAUUAUCAAAUGGUGACAAACAGAGCUGUUAAAACAAACACAUACUGAAAGC